GACGAACGCUGGCGGCGUGCUUAACACAUGCAAGUCGAACGGAAAGGCCCUGCUUGCAGGGUACUCGAGUGGCGAACGGGUGAGUAACACGUGGGUGAUCUGCCCUGCACUUCGGGAUAAGCCUGGGAAACUGGGUCUAAUACCGGAUAGGAGCCAUUUUUAGUGUGAUGGUUGGAAAGUUUUUUCGGUGUAGGAUGAGCUCGCGGCCUAUCAGCUUGUUGGGGGGGUAAUGGCCUACCAAGGCGGCGACGGGUAGCCGGCCUGAGAGGGUGGACGGCCACAUUGGGACUGAGGUACGGCACAGACUCCUACGGGAGGCAACAGUGGGGAAUAUUGCACAAUGGGCGCAAGCCUGGUGCAGCGGCGCCGCGGGGGGGAGAACGGCCUUCGGGUUGUAGACACCUUUCGCUAGGGACGAAGCUUUUUGUGACGGUACCUAGAGAAGAAGCACCGGCUAACUACGUG
rnacentral:rRNA from 1 species